UACAGAAGCCCCAAGCGUUACCCGGAUUUACUGGGCGUAAAGGGUGCGUAGGUGGUCAUAUUAGUCGGGUGUUAAAUCCUGAGGCUCAACCUCAGGCUCGCAUUCGAAACGGUAUGACUCGAGGAAGUGAGAGGUGUGUGGAACUCACGGUGUAGGGGUGAAAUCCGUUGAUAUCGUGGGGAACACCAAAAGCGAAGGCAGCACACUGGCACUUUCCUGACACUGAGGCACGAAAGCGUGGGUAGCGAACGGG
rnacentral:misc_RNA from 1 species